rnacentral:lncRNA from 1 species
CAUGUAACAAAAAUGAAAUCAAAAAUGAAAAAGAAAUGAGAAAUAAUGAAAUAAUAAUUGGAUAAUGGCAAACUUGUAAUUAAGCUUCAGUAAUGCCAAAACGCGGCGUUUCAAUAAUUGAAGUGGCAACGCGUGAUUCGCUAAUGGCCGCGGGAAACACAAUUCGAAAUUGCAAACCAAGAAAAACGGAUCAAAGCACGCUCAUACUCAUGUUCUUCAUCAAAACAAGUUCAGAAUUUCCAGAUUU